AGCAAUAAUAGCUUAAAUAGAGCAUCGGUCUUGUAAGUCGAAGGUGAGUGAAUUCUCUUAUUGUUA
rnacentral:tRNA from 1 species